AUUGAACGCUGGCGGCAGGCCUAACACAUGCAAGUCGAGCGAGCGGCGGACGGGGGAGUAAUGUCUGGGAAACUGCCUGAUGGAGGGGGAUAACUACUGGAAACGGUAGGUAAUACCGCACACCAUCAGAUGUGCCCAGAUGGGAUUAGCUAGUCGGUGGGGUAACGUCUCACCUAGGCGACGAUCCCUAGCUGGUCUGCGAGGUUGACCAGCCACACUGUGACUGAGACACGGUCCAGACUCCUACGGGAGGCAGCAGUGGGGAAUAUUGCACAAUGGACGCAAGCCUGAUGCAGCCAUGCCGCGUGUAUGAAGAAGGCCUUCGGGUUGUAAAGUACUUUCAGCGGGGAGGCGUUACCCGCAGAAGAAGCACCGGCUAACUCCGUGCCAGCAGCCGCGGUAAUUC
rnacentral:rRNA from 1 species